rnacentral:rRNA from 1 species
CCUACGGGAGGCUGCAGUGGGGAAUAUUGGGCAAUGGGCGCAAGCCUGACCCAGCAACGCCGCGUGAAGGAAGAAGGCCCUCGGGUUGUAAACUUCUUUUAUCAAUGACGAAACAAAUGACGGUACUUGAUGAAUAAGCCACGGCUAACUACGUGCCAGCAGCCGCGGUAAUACGGAGGGGGCAAGCGUUAUCCGGAUUUACUGGGUGUAAAGGGCGUGUAGGCGGGACUGCAAGUCAGAGGUGAAAGGCAUGGGCUCAACCCAUGAACUGCAUUUGCUACUGGAGUUCUUGAGUGUUGGAGAGGCAGGCGGAAUUCCGGGUGUAGCGGUGAAAUGCGUAGAUAUACGGAGGAACACCAGUGGCGAAGGCGGCCAGCUGGACAAUAACUGACGCUGAGGCGCGAAAGCGUGGGAAGCAAACAGGAUUAGAUACCCUAGUAGUC